AGUCUCAGGCCCCAAGCGGGUGGAACGCACCAAGGGUCUCAUCCGCGACGAAGGGCUUUAACGCUCAGGGUCAGGAACCUCUGAGAGCUCUUGGGGACUUGCGCGCCCUUGGAUGCUCUUGCGUUCAACAGGGCUAGGAGACUACCGGCUGGGGCGAGGAAUGCAGGCGCCUAGAGCCUUGGAGCUCCUGAAACGUUCCUGCCGCCUCCGGAAAGCAAGGGCAGUUUACCGAAGUGACUGAGGCCAAGUAUUUGCAGCACGGGCAGGGACCAGUAACUGAUUUUCAGGCCUUUUGAGAGGAAGAGGAAGAGAGAGGAAGAGAAGGAUUUCUAAUAGUAGAUAUUCACUGUCAUGGACUCUUUAGGAAACAGCAACAAAGACAAGAUUAAGAACACCACCAAGUUGUGUGACUAUCCACACAAAAAAGCAUCUUCAUAAGAACCAAAAAUCAGCUCCAGACAGCUCAGCACAGAGUGAGAGACUCUACUCAUCUGGGAGGAAGUAAGGAGAAAGAACAACAGUCUUUGCCUGGUAAUCCAGAUAAUUCUUCCGGACCUUAUCCAACACCACCAAGGUGGUACCUCUGUAAGCUUGCAAGAGCCACAGUAUUACUUGGUUUGGAGUUUCCCCUGUUGCAAAUGCAGCCGCAGUGAUCAAAAACUUGGAUUACAAUAUCCAAAUUUAUUAGAAUACCUGGAAAUCCUUUCCAAAAAGUACUACUACAAACAAGCCCAGAUGGUGAGAACUAUAUGAAACACUAACUCUUCAAUGCCCAGACACCAAUGAACUAGAUGGUCAAGUAUCAAGACCAUCUAGAAAAACAUGACCUCACCAAAUGAACUAAAUAAGACACCAGGAACCAAUGCUGCAGAGACAGAGAUAUGUGACCUUUCAGACAGGGAAUUCAGAAUACCUGCUUUGAGGAAAAUCAACAUAAUUCAAGAUAACAUAGAGAAGGAAUUCAGAAUUCUAUUGGAUAAAUUUAACAAAAUUUAAAAUAAUUAAAAAGAAUUAAGCAGAAAUUCUGAAGCUGAAAAGUGCAAUAGACAUACUGAAGAAUGUAUUACAGUCAUAAGAUAAUUGACGAAGCAGAAGAAAGAAUUAGUGAGCUUAAAGACAGGCUAUUUGAAAAUACACAAAGGAGACAGAAGAGUAAAAAAGAAUGAAGCAUGCCUACAAGAUCUAGAAAAUAACCUUAAAAGAGCAGACCUAAGAGUUGUUGACCUUAAAGAGAAGGUAGAGAGAGAGA